AAUGUUAUUGGAAAAAAUGGUUAAAAGGCGUACAUUAGCAGCGACAGGCAUAUCUCUCUCUAACUGUGCGCCGGCAAGGGGAAAAAGAAGCUGGGGAGCUAGCCAGAGAGGGAAAGACAAUGGAUCCGUACUCAGGAGGAGGAAGCUGGACUAUGAUCCCCAGCGUCCCAACCCACAGUAACAUUUCUACACCCACCAAUCAAGACCAUCUAUACCUCUCUCCUCCUCCACCAUCACAACAAUAACAGCAAUUACAUCCACAACAAUUCCAACAACAAUAACAACAGCAACAGCGUAUGUUACAACAACAACAAGUGCGGCAGAAUCAACAUCAUCAGUCACUAGCUUCUCACUCCCAUCUCUUACAUUUAUUCCUGUAAACCACAACCUCAACAAAGAUUAAUGAACUGAACAAUCACUUUGAGAAGUGCCAACAGCUUUUGAACUUGAUUGCUGCAUCAAUUAAUACCAAAGACUGUUGAAGGACAAAAGAGAAAGCUGGAGAGAGGAAAGUAAGCAAUUGCUAAAUCAAAGGAGGGAUCUGAUAACCAAGUAUAGAAGCUCUGUUGAAGACCUUGUGAAGACUGAGCCAUAGUUGCUUCUCACUAUACUAAGCACAGGUCAAGAGCUUUCUGUUUAACUCUGAAAGAUCAAAAGGUAGAAGAAAAUUCUCUUUGUUCAGCAAGUAGAAACUUCUUAUCUUGUCUAGCUUUCUCUUUUAUCAAGAUUUCUUUUGGAAUGAGAUUAUAUUCAAAUGCAAUCUUGGCUUCAUUGUUUUGGUGCCAUUCAAUGUUAUGGAGCUCUGAAUGUCAUUACUGCCGUGCCCUGGGAGCUGCAUGUUCAUAAGGUUUCUAGUGAAAAUUAAAUGAAGAUCCAUAUGUCUUUUCUA